rnacentral:rRNA from 1 species
UACGAAGGGGGCUAGCGUUGCUCGGAAUCACUGGGCGUAAAGGGCGCGUAGGCGGCCAUUCAAGUCAGAGGUGAAAGCCCAAGGCUCAACCUUGGAACUGCCUUUGAUACUUGUUUGGCUUGAGACCGGUAGAGGUGAGUGGAAUUCCGAGUGUAGAGGUGAAAUUCGUAGAUAUUCGCAAGAACACCAGUGGCGAAGGCGGCUCACUGGCCCGAUACUGACGCUGAGGCACGAAAGCGUGGGGAGCAAACAGGG